UUUUAAACUUACCAAAUAGUGUGGAGUUAUUCAUGGCCAACAAUCUUUUCUGCUAAUCUUCCAGUCGUGUGCAAAGGAGAAUCAAGAUGACGUAAUCAGGCCAAGAAGAAUUGAAGCAAGUUCAAGCAGGUGUGCCAAGAAGAGCAUAUCUUUUCAGCAGGAAAAAGGAGAGGACGAUGCUGAUAUGCAUCUUGCACGCAUGAUUAUGCAGAGCAAGCGAGUCAAAAUUUCUAAUCUGGCAGAUGAGUAUGGAGAUGGUGAAAGCAGAAAGAGCCGAAAGAAGAGAGAUCAAGACAUGAUGGCUCAAAAGAAACCUCAGAUUUUGACCCAGAAAGACCGUUGCGUCUCUUGUUUUCGUCCUCUGGAUCUUCUUGUUUCAAUCGCCAAUUGCACAUAUCUGACAUUCACAAGGUGGCAGCCAGUGUUUCCUGGCCACUGUUGUAUUUUACCGACUCAGCAUGAAUCAGCUACAAGAACUGUGGAUGACAAUGUUUGGACUGAAAUUCGGAACUUCAAGAAAUGCCUCAUUAUGAUUUUGCAAAGCAAAGGAAGGAAGUGGUUUUUAUUGAAACUGUGAUGGGAUGGGCUCAACAGCGUCGUCAUUGUAUGAUUGAAUGCAUUCCUUUACCCCAAGAUAUUGCCAAAUCGGCUCCUUUAUACUUUAAGAAGGCAAUUGAUGAACCUGAAGAUGAGUGGAGCCAGCACGACGCCAAGAAGGUCAUUGAUAAAAAGUUGACUUUGGACUGAACAAGGGUUUUGUGCAUGUUAUUGAUGAUGAGCAGCAGUUCAACAGCAACCUUGGUCUCAAUGUCAUCAGAGGAAUGCAGCAUCUAGCCGACGAAGACAUGUACCGGGCCACCGCCACGACGCGGUGGAAGUACAAAAACAAGCCGUUGCCAACCUCUUGAAAGAGUGGGAGCCCUUUGACUGGACAAAGCAGCUCCAUGAAGGAUGAUUGUGCCUAGCCUUCUGUGUUUCCAACGUCAACCUUGACUGACCUGUAGGUUUUUGU